rnacentral:sRNA from 1 species
UGCAGGCAAGAAGAUGGAACUGGAAAAUAUCAUCUGAAUGAGGACUGAAGUCAAGGACUGCUGUGGUUGAAUUAAGGAAAGGCUGGAAGAAGCUGAAGAGGUUGGCGACCCCAAAAGAAGACCAGAAGUCUCAACUCUCCCAGACUCCUGAGAUCUCUCAGACAUUGAGUCCCCAACCAGCAGCAUACAAGAACUGGUGGGAGGACCCUGACGCAUAUACAGCAGAGGACUGCCUGGUCUGGCCUCAGUGAGAGAAUCCUUGCCUAACCCUUUAGAGACUUGAGGACCCAGGAAGUGGGGAGACCUGGUCAGUGUCUUCGAGUAACUGUUGGUUGCCUUUGGUGGCCAGAUGAUGGUGUGAGAUCCCCUAAACUGGAUUUACUGACAUUUGUGAGUUGCCAUGUGGGUUCAGGAGAGUCAACCUGGUUUCUCUGGAAGAGGAGAUAGUCCUUUUUAUUACUGAGCCAUACCUCCGUUCCCUCUUUCAAAUUCUGUUUUUAAUUCUUCUCUCAUGUAUUACAGCCCAAAAAAGAGAUUUUUAUCUCUCCUCUCCUCAGGGUCAGUCUUCCCUACCUGUCUACUCCCCCCAAGACCUUUCCUGUAUUAUUGUCAUGUUUGUCUCUAAUGUAGUAUCUUGUUUGUUGAGUUUUGUUAUUUGGUUACACAGUCAUUGCUAAAAGAUUUGUCGUAAGAUUUAAAUUUGUGUUUUGUUUUUCAAACGAUUGUAAAGGAAAUUUAUUGUGUUUCCAAAAUAUUGUCAAUAUUAAAAUAUGAAAACUCUCUAUGUUUAUUUAGUGGUUCAGUGGUAGCUAUCAACACAGCAGAAUCCAAAAUCAGCUUGGAGGCAAGUCCUUCGGACAUCUCUGAGGGGUCAUCUUGUUGUUUGAAGAACCAUCUUAAUUGUAACUAAGAACAUCCCCUGGGUGGAAAAUCCUGUAUUGCAUAAAAUGAUGAAGGCAGGAGAAAUGACUUCAAUUCAACAUGAAAUUAAUCCCCCAGACCAUCAUUAGAGUGCAAAGGUGACCUGAGCAUCUGAGCCUUCAGGAAGACAUGCUUCAUGGAUCUCAAUUUGGAUUUCUGAACAGAGAAACAGGUAUCAUCAAUUACUGGUACUUGUAAUGCACAACAUUGCCAUGAAGAAAACGGAAUUAGCACAGAGCAUGCAGAGUACCUUCCAACUCCAUGAACAUUACAUGUGAAGCUUCAAGUUUGGUAUCUGCACAAUUUCUCAAUGGUUGAUGACAGAAGUAUCUCUGAUACGGAGUCUCAGUGUACUUUGUAGUGAGGUUGCAAAUUCAAGCACUAAUGCAAUGCUUCCUGUCAGCCUCCUGAGAAGAUCACACUGGAGACCACUACUCUGAUCUAUGAUAUAAACUGCAAGAACUUUCCUGAUGAGGAAUAGGACUCUGUGUUUAUACCCUUAACCAAUGCUGUAACUGUGAUCUAUGGCAAGGGAAGAACAAGAUCUCAGGACUGGUUCAUCACCUUACUAAGAUAUUCAAAAUUACAUAAUACUAGAAGAACUUUUUUUUCUUACAAUCUUAGAAUGUGGAGGGAAUCUUAUUUAACUAGUGUACAGUUGACAGAGGAUACCUAGGGAGUUUAUUCCCAUGCUGAGAUACCAAUUCCUUACUACUGUCCACAGCAUUCUUAGAUACUUCCUUUUCAAAGUGAGUCUAGCAGAGGCAAAAAGUUCGUAGUCGUUCAUACUGUAAUUUAGAAUUAUACAAAAAGUGUUUAUGCAUAGACAGUGGAUAGAAAGGCUCAAUUCUGCAACUCAUGUGUUAUCUUUGACUUUUUAAAAGGAGCUGUUCACUAGAGAGUAGCUGCAAGGAAUGGAAAAUUUGAUGAGCCACACUGAGGAAGACUGAGGAAGCGGAGAGCUGACAUCAAUUCACAUUAUGGUGUAAUCAUUUUUCUAUAAACGGAAAACCAGAAGUCUCAACUAUCCCGGACUCCUGAGAUCUCUUAGACAUUGAGCCCAACCAGCAUCAUAGAAGAAUUGGUGGGAGGACACUGACACAUAUACAACAGAGGACUUCCUGGGCUGGUCUCAGUCAAUGUCUUUGAAUAACUGUCCAUUGCAUUUGGUGGCCAGAUGAUGGUGUGAGAUCCCCUGAAACUGGAAUUAGUGAUAUUUGUGAGUUGCCUUGUGGGUUCAGGAGAGUUAACCUGGUUUCCCUGGAAGAUCAGACAGUCCUUUUUAUUACUGAGCCAUACCUCCAUUCCCUCUUCUUAAUUCUGUUUUUAAUUCUUCUCCCACGUAUUACAUCUCCAAAACAGAGCUUUUCAUCUCUCCUCUCCUCAGGGUCAGUCUUCCCCACCUGUAUCUCCCCCCAAGACCGUUCCUGUAUUAUUGUCAUGUGUCUCUAAUGUAGUAUCUUGUUUGUGGAGUUUUGUUAUUUGGUUACACUGUCAGUGCUAAAAAGAUUUGUUGUAAGAUUUAAAUUUGUGUUUUGUUUUUUAAAUAAUUUUAAAGGAAAUUUAUUGUGUUUGCAAAAUAUUGUCAAUAUUAAAAUAUGAACAUUCUCUAUGUUUAUUUUGUGGUUCAGUGGUAGCUAUCAACAUGGCAGAAUCUGAAAUCAACUUGGAGGCAAGUCCUUCGGACAUCUGUGAGGGGUCAUCUUGUUGUUUGAAGAACUAUCUUAAUUGUAGCUAAGAACAUCCCCUGGGUGGAAAAUCCUGUAUUGUAUAAAAUGAUGAAGGCAGGAGAAAUGGCUUCAAUUCAACAUGAAGUUAAUCCCCCAGACCAUCUUAAGAGUCCAAAGGUGACCUGACUAUCUGAGCCUUCAGGAAGACAUGCUUCAUGGAUCUUAAUUUGGAUUUCUGAACAGAGAAACAGGUCAUUGGUAGAUAAGUUAAACUUUCAAAAUCAGAGAGGAUCCUAUAAUUCUUAUCCAGUAUUGUAUAGGUAUCAAUUGCACAUAGCUUCUAAUUAGAGGUAGGACUCCAUUUCUGUUUCUCCUGUUUACCUCUGAGUCUUUUGUUCAGUUUGAACUCAGAAAUCUUGUGUAUGCUUGAAUAAUCGCUGUGAGUGGAAAUGUUUCUAGGUCCUGUUGUACAUGGAAGAGUCUUGUUCUUGAGAGUCAUCUAUCAUCUCUUGCUCCUAAAGUCUUUCUAAUUCCCCUCCCCAUAGAUUUGUGAUGCUUCAGGGGAAAGGUUCGAUGAAGAAAUCUUACUCAGGACAAGUGCUCCAAAGUCUCUCACUGUCUACAAUAUCCAGUUGCAGUUCUCCAAGCUAGUUCCCAUCUACUAGAGGAAGAAGCUCCUCUGAUGUGAGUUAAGUAAUGCACUGGUCUAUGGAUAUAACUAUGUAAUUUUGAGUCACUUCAUUGUAAUGUGACAUUUGCAGAAUUAUACUGGUUUUCUACUAGACCCAUUUUUGGGUUCUUGAGCACAUUAACAGUGUCUUGUAUGAG